rnacentral:lncRNA from 1 species
CCGUUCAUUCUCCCUCUUAGAUGGAGCAUGUGGAUACGGAAGGUUUUGGAUUGGACUAGCGUCCACUACCUCCUUUCCUUUAGAAACUCUAGAAUUCCUCUCUCUUUUAUUUUUUACUCCCUCCACUAUCACUUCAUCACUCUUAUUUUUUUCAACUUCCACACUUUCUUUAUUUUCUACUUCACCAUUCUUUUCAUUCUUUUCAACUUCUUCCUCACUCCACUCCCCAACUU